rnacentral:rRNA from 1 species
ACAUGAAGCUGGAAUCGCUGUAAUCGCGAAUCAGAAUGUCGCGGUGAAUACGUUCCCGGGUCUUGUACACACCGCCCGUCACACCAUGGGAGUCGGGAAUGCCCGAAGUCAGUGACCCAACCUAUUGGAGGGAGCUGCCGAAGGCAGGUCUGAUAACUGGGGUGAAGUCGUAACAAGGUAGC